rnacentral:tRNA from 2 species
GCCGAAGUGGCGAAAUAGGUAGACGCAGUUGAUUCAAAAUUAACCACCCCAUGGGUAUACCGGUUCGAUUCCGGUCUUCGGCA